rnacentral:rRNA from 1 species
GAUGAACGCUGGCGGCGUGCCUAAUACAUGCAAGUCGAGCGAACAGAUGAGGAGCUUGCUCCUCUGACGUUAGCGGCGGACGGGUGAGUAACACGUGGAUAACCUACCUAUAAGACUGGGAUAACUUCGGGAAACCGGAGCUAAUACCGGAUCAUAUAUUGAACCGCAUGGUUCAAUAGUGAAAGACGGUUUUGCUGUCACUUAUAGAUGGAUCCGCGCCGCAUUAGCUAGUUGGUACGGUAACGGCUUACCAAGGCAACGAUGCGUAGCCGACCUGAGAGGGUGAUCGGCCACACUGGAACUGAGACACGGUCCAGACUCCUACGGGAGGCAGCAGUAGGGAAUCUUCCGCAAUGGGCGAAAGCCUGACGGAGCAACGCCGCGUGAGUGAUGAAGGUCUUCGGAUCGUAAAACUCUGUUAUUAGGGAAGAACAAAUGUGUAAGUAACUAUGCACGUCUUGACGGUACCUAAUCAGAAAGCCACGGCUAACUACGUG